rnacentral:rRNA from 1 species
GACGAACGCUGGCGGCGUGCUUAACACAUGCAAGUCGAACGGUGAAGCGCCUUCCUUUUUGGUGGGUGUGGAUGAGUGGCGAACGGGUGAGUAACACGUGAGUAACCUGCCCCCUUCUUCUGGAUAACCGCAUGAAAGUGUGGCUAAUACGGGAUAUUCUGGGUCUGUCGCAUGAUGGGUCUGGGAAAGAUAUUGUUUCGGUGGGGGAUGGGCUCGCGGCCUAUCAGCUUGUUGGUGGGGUGAUGGCCUACCAAGGCGGUGACGGGUAGCCGGCCUGAGAGGGUGGACGGCCACACUGGGACUGAGGCACGGCCCAGACUCCUACGGGAGGCAGCAGUGGGGAAUAGUGCACAAUGGGCGCAAGCCUGAUGCAGCGACGCCGCGUGAGGGAUGGAGGCCUUCGGGUUGUGAACCUCUUUCGCCAGUGAAGCAGGCCUGCCUCGUUUGUGGGUGGGUUGACGGUAGCUGGAUAAGAAGCGCCGGCUAACUACGUG